CACAACACACACACUGCAGGACACACACACACUACCUGAACCUACAGAGGAGACGUGACGACGAGGACAGCUGACCUGCUCUCAUUGUAUCCCACAAUGCAUCUGUGUAUCCAGGUGAUGACGUGGACAGUUCAGACAGGUGUGUGUCACCUGGUGGUCAGUGUGUGUUUUCAUCCUGAACACAAUAAAUCCAUCCAACAUG